rnacentral:tRNA from 15 species
UGCGAGUAUGGUCUAGUGGUAUGACGUGACCUUCCCAAGGUUAAGACGGGAGUUCGAUUCUCCCUACUCGCAUC